GAAGAGGGGAAAAAAAGCUAUGACUAAGAUCAAGUGGGGGAAAUUGACUCCACAAAGCAGCCUUUUCCAAUGGUUCACACUCUGUUUUGCACUGGAGCCUGAAGUCUGAGUAUCUGCAGACUUUGCAUGUCUCCAGUGUAAGGAUCUCAUCUUGCCCUGAUUCUUUCAAAGGGCACUGAGUGAUCAGUCACAUCUUCAACCAAUUCCGCUGGAUCUGGGACAGCUCAGCUCUUCUGAAAUAGCAGGCCUGAAAUGUCUCUACCUCAGCUUUCCAAAAAUUGAAACACCAUAACAAAAAGAAAAAAAGAGUGGCUACGUGAAAAACUGUGACCCAAGUGUGCCCAUCCCGCUGGGCGCGGAGUGCCCCCAGCCGAGGCCUGGAAUGUUGAACAUCACAUCAGAGGCAUUUCACAUCUCCCCGGGAGGAGCCGAUGAGUCCAAAAAUGGAAGGGAGGGAAAAAACUUUUGGCUGAUACUGCAUGGUCACAUAUGGUUUGCUUUGGUAUUUUGGGACCCUGCGUGUAAUGAACAAAGGAGCCCUUUCAGGCUUGGGAACCCAGAACAGGAGGGAGACUUUUCUCUGAGGAGGUCAAAGCUUUCUGCUGCCUCACAACACUCCUAUUAUGUAUCCAGACAAGGAAACUGAGGCACAGAGCAGAGAAGCAACUUGUGGUGAAGGAAGAACAGCAGAGGAUGGAUCUGUCUGGACAGGCCCAGCAUAAAGACUCUGGACCAUAACUGCAGGACACUGGGCAAGACAGAUGUAGGGGCUGCAACAACAAGGCUGCUUUUCCUUUCUUAUGCCUGGAGGCACAGAUCAGUGGAGGGGAACCCCGGAGUCCUAUGCACUGCUGCUAUUUCUAACCACUCAACCACAUGCCCUCAAAAGUGAGCCAGCCUGCUCUGCAGCUGAUCCCUAGGCAGCAAGCUGCUGUGAGAUCAAGAGGAAGGAAAGUGCGGACAGGAGAGGGACUCCAACCCACAUCUGGACCUGCUUAUCCCCUCCCACAUGGAGUUAAUCCCAGUAAGACUUUGUCUUUCCCUGGUGAGACCAAACGGGCUUAUAUAAAGAGUAAUGAAACUUCCUGACCUCCCCAGGAGGUGGUUCACUAGUGUUACAGAGAGUGGAGAAACUAAGGAACUGGGAGAAAUAAAGCCACUUCACCAAAGUAAUGCCGUGAAUCAGAAGCAAAGCUGCAAAUUGAAGCCCAGCAUCCUGACUCCCUGCUGCUGGCUAAAGUUGAGACCCUUUAUUUUCUAAGGUGAUAUAUUUUAGAAGGGUGCCUGCAACGGCAGGAGCAGCUAGGACAUUUGUACUAAGAAAGCAUCAGCAGCCAAUGCUUGGGAAUUUAAUAAGUAGGUCUGAAUUCCUUCAUGGCUGCAAUCUGUUCCACCCACCCCACUGGAGGGACAGGUCUGGUUCCAGUCAGCCCCACAAAGGGGACUUCAUAGGGUCAGACUCCUUCACUGAAGUCAAUGAAGUUUUGCAGAGGGCCAACAACUCCAUGAGUUUAUGCUUCUCUCCACACAGUUUAUCUGUCAGAUGGGAGACACUUCCCAGCACUUUGUCUUGGGAGCUAUUCUUGCUCCUUUUGCUAGUGUCAUGCAAAAUUUUCUCACUUUUCUCCUCCCUCCCUUGGUCUCCCCUCCCUUCUCUUCUCCCUGCCAU